AGUUUUCGGAUGGAAGACUGUAAUUCUUAGUGGCGGACGGGUGAGUAACGCGUGGGCAACCUGCCCUAUACAGGGGGAUAGCAGCUGGAAACGGCUGGUAAGACCGCAUAAGUCGGCGAGACCGCAUGGUUUUGUCGGGAAAUGAGCAAUCAGGUAUAGGAUGGGCCCGCGUCCGAUUAGCCAGUUGGCAGGGUAAAAGCCUACCAAAGCAACGAUCGGUAGCCGGACUGAGAGGUCGGACGGCCACAUUGGGACUGAGACACGGCCCAAACUCCUACGGGAGGCAGCAGUGGGGGAUAUUGCACAAUGGAGGAAACUCUGAUGCAGCGACGCCGCGUGAGUGAAGAAGUAUUUCGGUAUGUAAAGCUCUAUCAGCAGGGAAGAUGAUGACGGUACCUGACUAAGAAGCCCCGGCUAACUACGUGCCAGCAGCCGCGGUAAUACGUAGGGGGCAAGCGUUAUCCGGAUUUACUGGGUGUAAAGGGAGCGCAGGCGGUUUGGCAAGUUGAGAGUGGAAGCAGGGGGCUCAACCCCCUGACUGCUCCCAAAACUGUUAAACUUGAGUAUGGGAGAGGCAGGCGGAAUUCCUAGUGUAGCGGUGAAAUGCUUAGAUAUUAGGAAGAACACCGGUGGCGAAGGCGGCCUGCUGGACCAAAACUGACGCUGAGGCUCGAAAGCGUGGGUAGCAAACAGGAUUAGAUACCCUGGUAGUCCACGCUGUAAACGAUGAAUACUAGGUGCUGGGAGGCAUAAGCCUUUCGGUGCCGUC
rnacentral:rRNA from 1 species